rnacentral:rRNA from 1 species
GAUGAACGCUGGCGGCGUGCCUAAUACAUGCAAGUCGAGCGAACGGACGAGAAGCUUGCUUCUCUAAUGUUAGCGGCGGACGGGUGAGUAACACGUGGAUAACCUACCUAUAAGACUGGGAUAACUUCGGGAAACCGUAGCUAAUACCGGAUAAUAUUUUGAACCGCAUGGUUCAAAAGUGAAAGACGGUCUUGCUGUCACUUAUAGAUGGAUCCGCGCUGCAUUAGCUAGUUGGUAAGGUAACGGCUUACCAAGGCAACGAUGCAUAGCCGACCUGAGAGGGUGAUCGGCCACACUGGAACUGAGACACGGUCCAGACUCCGACGGGAGGCAGCAGUAGGGAAUCUUCCGCAAUGGGCGAAAGCCUGACGGAGCAACGCCGCGUGAGUGAUGAAGGUCUUCGGAUCGUAAAACUCUGUUAUUAGGGAAGAACAUAUGUGUAAGUAACUGUGCACAUCUUGACGGUACCUAAUCAGAAAGCCACGGCUAACUACGUG